rnacentral:rRNA from 1 species
CCUACGGGAGGCAGCAGUGAGGAAUAUUGGUCAAUGGGCGCGAGCCUGAACCAGCCAAGUCGCGUGAGGGAUGACGGCCCUACGGGUUGUAAACCUCUUUUGCCGGGGAGCAACGGGCGCCACGUGUGGCGCCACUGAGAGUACCCGGAGAAAAAGCAUCGGCUAACUCCGUGCCAGCAGCCGCGGUAAUACGGAGGAAGCGAGCGUUAUCCGGAUUUAUUGGGUUUAACGGGGGCGUAGGCGGAUCGUUAAGUCAGUGGUCAAAUUGAGGGGCUCAACCCCUUCCCGCCAUUGAAACUGGCGUUCUUGAGUGGAAGAGAAGUAUGCGGAAUGCGUGGUGUAGCGGUGAAAUGCUUAGAUAUCACGCAGAACCCCGAUUGCGAAGGCAGCAUGCCGGCUUCCGACUGACGCUGAAGCACGAAAGCGUGGGGAUCGAACAGGAUUAGAUACCCGGGUAGUC